rnacentral:rRNA from 1 species
CCUACGGGUGGCAGCAGUGAGGAAUAUUGGUCAAUGGACGCGAGUCUGAACCAGCCAAGUCGCGUGAAGGAUGACUGCCCUACGGGUUGUAAACUUCUUUUGUACGGGAGUAAAGUGCGGCACGUGUGCCUUUUUGUAUGUACUUUAUGAAUAAGGAUCGGCUAACUCCGUGCCAGCAGCCGCGGUAAUACGGAGGAUCCGAGCGUUAUCCGGAUUUAUUGGGUUUAAAGGGUGCGUAGGUGGGUUGUUAAGUCAGUUGUGAAAUUUUGCGGCUCAACCGUAAAAUUGCAAUUGAUACUGGCAGUCUGGAGUAGAGUUGAGGUAGGCGGAAUUCGUGGUGGAGCGGUGAAAUGCUUAGAUAGCACGAAGAACUCCGAUUGCGAAGGCAGCUUACUAAACUGCAACUGACAUUGAUGCGCGAAAGUGUGGGUAUCAAACAGGAUUAGAGACCCCAGUAGUC